rnacentral:rRNA from 1 species
CCUACGGGAGGCAGCAGUGGGGGAUAUUGGACAAUGGGGGGAACCCUGAUCCAGCGACGCCGCGUGAGUGAAGAAGUAUUUCGGUAUGUAAAGCUCUGUCAGCAGGGAAGAAAGAAAUGACGGUACCUGACCAAGAAGCCCCGGCUAACUACGUGCCAGCAGCCGCGGGAAUACGUAGGGGGCAAGCGUUAUCAGGAAUUACUGGGUGUAAAGGGAGCGUAGACGGUUAAGUAAGUCUGGAGUGAAAGGCCGGGGCCCAACCCCGGGACUGCUCUGGAAACUAUUGAACUUGAGUGCAGGAGAGGUAAGCGGAAUUCCUAGUGUAGCGGUGAAAUGCGUAGAUAUUAGGAAGAACACCAGUGGCGAAGGCGGCUUACUGGACUGUAACUGACGUUGAGGCUCGAAAGCGUGGGGAGCAAACAGGAUUAGAUACCCGUGUAGUC